GAUGAACGCUAGCUACAGGCUUAACACAUGCAAGUCGAGGGGCAGCAUGAUUGAAGCUUGCUUCAAUCGAUGGCGACCGGCGCACGGGUGAGUAACACGUAUCCAACCUGCCGAUAACUCGGGGAUAGCCUUUCGAAAGAAAGAUUAAUACCCGAUAGCAUAGUAUUUCCGCAUGGUUUCACUAUUAAAGAAUUUCGGUUAUCGAUGGGGAUGCGUUCCAUUAGAUAGUUGGCGGGGUAACGGCCCACCAAGUCAACGAUGGAUAGGGGUUCUGAGAGGAAGGUCCCCCACAUUGGAACUGAGACACGGUCCAAACUCCUACGGGAGGCAGCAGUGAGGAAUAUUGGUCAAUGGACGAGAGUCUGAACCAGCCAAGUAGCGUGAAGGAUGACUGCCCUAUGGGUUGUAAACUUCUUUUAUACGGGAAUAAAGUGGAGUAUGCAUACUCCUUUGUAUGUACCGUAUGAAUAAGGAUCGGCUAACUCCGUGCCAGCAGCCGCGGUAAUACGGAGGAUCCGAGCGUUAUCCGGAUUUAUUGGGUUUAAAGGGAGCGUAGGCGGGUGCUUAAGUCAGUUGUGAAAGUUUGCGGCUCAACCGUAAAAUUGCAGUUGAUACUGGGCGCCUUGAGUGCAGCAUAGGUAGGCGGAAUUCGUGGUGUAGCGGUGAAAUGCUUAGAUAUCACGAAGAACUCCGAUUGCGAAGGCAGCUUACUGGACUGUAACUGACGCUGAUGUUCGAAAGUGUGNGUAUCAAACAGG
rnacentral:rRNA from 1 species